AUUGAACGCUGGCGGCAGGCCUAACACAUGCAAGUCGAGCGAGCGGCGGACGGGUGAGUAAUGUAUGGGAAACUGCCCGAUGGAGGGGGAUAACUACUGGAAACGGUAGCUAAUACCGCAUACCAUCAGAUGUACCCAUAUGGGAUUAGCUAGUUGGUGGGGUAACGGCUCACCUAGGCGACGAUCCCUAGCUGGUCUGAGAGGAUGACCAGCCACACUGGGACGGAGACACGGUCCAGACUCCGACGGGAGGCAGCAGUGGGGAAUAUUGCACAAUGGGCGCAAGCCUGAUGCAGCCAUGCCGCGUGUAUGAAGAAGGCCUUAGGGUUGUAAAGUACUUUCAGCGGGGAGGCGUUACCCGCAGAAGAAGCACCGGCUAACUCCGUGCCAGCAGCCGCGGUAAUAC
rnacentral:rRNA from 1 species